rfam:Richelia intracellularis HM01, WGS project CAIS01000000 data, contig: 01297
AGUAACCGAAGAUUACAGCAGGGUUUAAUGUGGGGUUAGUGAUAACGCGCACAUCACCACCCCCUGGUGCCCAGGUGUCAUACACACCGCCAAAGAACAUAGCUUUAAGUACCAGCAGGAAGGCGCCACAUCCUAACAUAAUUAAGUGGAAACCAAUGAUGUUGGUCAUUUUAUUCUUGUCUUUCCA